AAUUAUAAAUUAGGAAGUAAUAAAUAAUAAAACCCCUAAAACUUGGCGGUUAUAAUUUUUUAAAGAAACUUGUUUUAUAAUCGACAUUACUCGAUAACUUUUACUUAAUUUUUUAAAAUUUAUAUACCGCCGUUUAAACAGAAACAAUACAAAUAAAACUUCAAAAUCAACAACAUAUAAAAAUCAGGUCAAGGUGUAAUCUUUAAUUAAGAAAAAAUAAGUUACACUUAAAUAAAAUUUAAGGAAUAUUUAAUUAAAAUUAAAAAGAAAAAGAAUUUAAAAUUAAUUUUAAAUUAAAAACUUAAACAGAAAUCAAUUAUUAUAAUGC
rnacentral:rRNA from 1 species